rnacentral:rRNA from 1 species
GACGAACGCUGGCGGCGUGCUUAACACAUGCAAGUCGAACGGAAAGGCCCUGCUUUUGUGGGGUGCUCGAGUGGCGAACGGGUGAGUAACACGUGAGUAACCUGCCCUUGACUUUGGGAUAACUUCAGGAAACUGGGGCUAAUACCGGAUAGGAGCUCCUGCUGCAUGGUGGGGGUUGGAAAGUUUCGGCGGUUGGGGAUGGACUCGCGGCUUAUCAGCUUGUUGGUGGGGUAGUGGCUUACCAAGGCUUUGACGGGUAGCCGGCCUGAGAGGGUGACCGGCCAAAUUGGGACGGGGAUACGGCCAAGACUCCUACGGGAGGCAGCAGUGGGGAAUAUUGCACAAUGGGCGGAAGCCUGAUGCAGCAACGCCGCGUGCGGGAUGACGGCCUUCGGGUUGUAAACCGCUUUCGCCUGUGCCGAAGCGUGAGUGACGGUAAUGGGUAAAGAAGCACCGGCUAACUACGUG